CCCGCUGAACUUAAGCAUAUCAAUAAGCGGAGGAAAAGAAACUAACAAGGAUUCCCCUAGUAACGGCGAGUGAAGCGGGAACAGCUCAAAUUUGAAACCUGGCGUCCUUAGGGCGUCCGGAUUGUAUUCUAGAGAAGCGUCUUCCACGCUGGUCCACGUAUAAGUGCCCUGGAACGGGCUGUCAUAGAGGGUGAGAAUCCCGUCCUUGACGUGGGCUACCAGUGUUUUUGUGAUGCGCUUUCUAAGAGUCGAGUUGUUUGGGAAUGCAGCUCAAAGUGGGUGGUAAAUUCCAUCUAAAGCUAAAUAUUGGCCUGAGACCGAUAGCGAACAAGUACCGUGAGGGAAAGAUGAAAAGCACUUUGAAAAGAGAGUCAAACAGUACGUGAAAUUGCUGAAAGGGAAACGCUUGAAGUCAGUCGCGCCCCCUGGAAUUCAGCCCUGCUCUUGUAGGGUGUACUUUCCAGGGGGCGGGCCAACAUCAGUUUUGACCGGCAGAUAAAGGCUGGGGGAAUGUGGCUCCUUCGGGAGUGUUAUAGCCCCUGGUCACAUAUGCCGGUUGGGACUGAGGAACGCAGCGCGCCCUUGUGGCAGGCCUUCGGGCACUUUCGCGCUUAGGACGUUGGCAUAAUGGCUUUAAGCGACCCGUCUUGAAACACGG
rnacentral:rRNA from 1 species